AAUCAACGCUGGCGGCGUGCCUCAGACAUGCAAGUCGAACGCGAAAGUUUCCUUCGGGAAACAAGUAGAGUGGCGCACGGGUGAGUAACACGUAGGUAAUCUACCUUCGGAUGGGGAAUAACAAUCGGAAACGAUUGCUAAUACCGCAUAAUGCAGCGGCACCUAAUGGUGACAGUUGUUAAAGCGGGGGAUCGAAAGACCUCGCGUCUGAAGAGGAGCCUGCGGCGGAUUAGCUAGUUGGUAAGGUAAUGGCUUACCAAGGCUACGAUCCGUAACCGGCCUGAGAGGGCGGUCGGUCACACUGACACUGGACAUACGGGUCAGACUCCUACGGGAGGCAGCAGUCGGGAAUUUUGGGCAAUGGGCGAAAGCCUGACCCAGCAACGCCGCGUGAAGGAUGAAAUCCCUCGGGAUGUAAACUUCGCAAGAACGGGAAGAAUAAGUAGGGGUUAAUACCCACUAUGAUGACGGUACCGUUUGUAAGCUCCGGCUAACUCCGUGCCAGCCGCCGCGGUAAC
rnacentral:rRNA from 1 species